GACGGAAGGUGCAAGCGUUGCUCGGAAUCACUGGGCGUAAAGGGUGCGUAGGCGGCCGUGCAAGUCUGGCGUGAAAGCCCCGGGCUCAGCCCGGGAAGUGCGCUCGAAACUGCGCGGCUCGAGUGCCGGAGGGGAGAGUGGAAUUCCUGGUGUAGCGGUGAAAUGCGUAGAUAUCAGGAGGAAUACCGGUGGCGAAAGCGCUCUACUGGACCGCAACUGACACUCAGGGACGAAAGCUAGGGGAGCGAAUGGG
rnacentral:rRNA from 1 species